rnacentral:tRNA from 1 species
UCGAGUCCUUCUCUUUUUA